rnacentral:lncRNA from 1 species
CAAACCUCCCUCCUCACCAAUUUGAAAAGGAUCUUGGUGAACAGACUGGGCAAAGCGAGAGCCCUCUUUCUACGUGCCUUAGGGUGGUGAUAGGGCAGCCAAAGACCAAGUGCUUCAGCUGAGGGAUACAGAUUAGAGAUGAGGACCUAACUCCAAAGAGUAACUCUUUGCUGAAGUGACUUCACAGAGGGAAGUAAGCAGUAAUUCAACUCAGCCUUAGAUAGAAAGCUUUUCUAUGAAUAAUGGGAAAUAAAGUUAAAGGAAAUGAUGCAAAUAAAGCAAGAAAAAAAUACUGAUGAUCAGAAAAAAGAAAAGUAUUGGAGGUCUGAAAGAUCCUCAAAAUAGAGAAGAGCCAAUGACUUCAUACACCGAAUCGGCUAAAUCCUGUCUCACAUUUUCACUGUAGCCAGAAGAGCCACUCUGGUCAAGUAGAAACCCUGAAGUUUGCCGUCAUUUCAUCCAGGGUCUGCAGAUGUGCACUUAGAGUAUCUAUUCUGAAUGCUUGAUGCUAUGCAGUGUUUGUGCUACAAAGAAGCUGAAGAUACAUGCUCUUUCUGUCAUCAACCUGUCCUAUGGCUGUGGGGUUCUCAUUUUGUGGCCCAGGAUGAAGUGCAGUGACACAACUGAACCUCACUGCUGACCCCUGAACUCCUGCGCUCAAGUGAUCCUUCCACCGCAGCCUUCUGAGUAGAUGGGACUACAGGCGUGCACCACCAUACCUGGCUAAUUAAAAAAAAUUUUUGUAGAGUCGAGGUCUUGCUAUGUUGCCUAGGUUGGUCUUCCACUCCUGGCCUCAAGUGAUCCUCUCACCACUCAGUAGGCGAGAGCCACUGCACCGGAUAAACUCAACUGGGAAGAGUACUCCUGUCAUGGACCCUCAGAUGAACAAGCAUUUAUAAAGGCUACUGACAAUAUUUCUUAAUCAAAAGAGUUUUGAACAGUUGGCUGAAAGAGAGGUUCUCAGAAG